AGCGAACGCUGGCGGCAGGCUUAACACAUGCAAGUCGAGCGGGCGUAGCAAUACGUCAGCGGCAGACGGGUGAGUAACGCGUGGGAACAUACCUUUUGGUUCGGAACAACACAGGGAAACUUGUGCUAAUACCGGAUAAGCCCUUACGGGGAAAGGAUUUAUCGCCGAAAGAUUGGCCCGCGUCUGAUUAGCUAGUUGGUGAGGUAACGGCUCACCAAGGCGACGAUCAGUAGCUGGUCNGAGAGGAUGAUCAGCCACAUUGGGACUGAGACACGGCCCAAACUCCUACGGGAGGCAGCAGUGGGGAAUAUUGCACAAUGGGCGAAAGCCUGAUGCAGCAACGCCGCGUGCGGGAUGAC
rnacentral:rRNA from 1 species